rnacentral:rRNA from 1 species
UACGUAGGGGGCAAGCGUUGUCCGGAUUUAUUGGGCGUAAAGAGCGUGUAGGCGGCCAGGUAGGUCCGUUGUGAAAACUGGAGGCUUAACCUCCAGCUGUCGAUGGAAACCAUCUGGCUAGAGUCCGGAAGAGGAGAGUGGAAUUCCUGGUGUAGCGGUGAAAUGCGCAGAUAUCAGGAAGAACACCCGUGGCGAAGGCGGCUCACUGGCCCGAUACUGACGCUGAGGCACGAAAGCGUGGGGAGCAAACAGG